rnacentral:ncRNA from 1 species
AUAAAUAAAUUUUUUAUGGUUUUGAUAAUUUAUUUAAAGUUUAUUUUACAUAUAAAUUUUAGUAUUAAUUUUACUUUAUUUUAAUAAUAAUUUAAUUAAUUUGUAGUAAUUAAUAUUAAACAAUUUAAGUAAUUAAGAUUUAGUAAUAUUUAAUAUUAAUAACAAAUUUUGGGCCAGCAGUUGCGGUUAAACAAAAGUUAAAUUUAAAUUUUAUUAGUUAUUAAUAAAUAAUUAAAUUUAAAAUAAAUAAUUUAUUUAUUUUUUAAUAUAAAUAAUAUAAAUUUUAAAUUAUUAAGUGAAAUUUUAAUUUAAUUAAAUAUUAUUUUUAAUUUAUGAUUUAAAAAAUUUUAUAAAAAACUAGGAUUAGAUACCCUAUUAUUAAAAUUUAAAUUAGUAAUACUAAAAUAGUAAGUAAUUAUUUAUUGAAACUUAAAUAAUUUGGCGGUAUUUUAGUUCAUUUAGAGGAAUCUGUUUAAUAAUUGAUAAUCCACGAAUAAAUUUACUUAAUUUUUUAUUUUGUAUAUCGUUGUUAAAAAAAUAUUUUUUAAUAAUAAUAAUAUUUAAAAAUUUUAAUUAAAAAUUAAAUCAGAUCAAGAUGCAGAUUAUAAUUAAGAAUAUAAUGGAUUACAAUAAAUUUAUUUAUAUGAAUAUUAAUUUGUAAAAUUUAAUUGAAGGUGGAUUUAAAUGUAAUUUUAUUUAGUUUAAUAAAAUGAUUGAAAAUUAAGAUAUGUACAUAUUGCCCGUCGCUUUCAUAUGAAUAAAAGUUGGAAUAAGUCGUAACAAAGUAGAGGUACUGGAAAGUGUUUCUAGAAAGAACAAA